CUGACCUGCAUUCGAUACGGUCUAGCUAGAGUGUGGUAGGGGAGACUGGAAUUCCUGGUGUAGCGGUGGAAUGCGCAGAUAUCAGGAGGAACACCGAUGGCGAAGGCAGGUCUCUGGGCCAUUACUGACACUGAGGAGCGAAAGCGUGGGGAGCGAACAGGAUUAGAUACCCUGGUAGUCCACGCCGUAAACGGUGGGCGCUAGUUGUGCGAACCUUCCACGGUUUGUGCGACGCAGCUAACGCAUUAAGCGCCCCGCCUGGGGAGUACGAUCGCAAGAUUAAAACUCAAAGGAAUUGACGGGGCCCCGCACAAGCAGCGGAGCAUGCGGCUUAAUUCGACGCAACGCGAAGAACCUUACCAAGGCUUGACAUAUACAGGAAUACGGCAGAGAUGUCGUAGCCGCAAGGUCUGUAUACAGGUGGUGCAUGGUUGUCGUCAGCUCGUGUCGUGAGAUGUUGGGUUAAGUCCCGCAACGAGCGCAACCCUCGUUCUGUGUUGCCAGCAUUUAGUUGGGGACUCACAGGAGACUGCCGGGGUUAACUCGGAGGAAGGUGGGGAUGACGUCAAAUCAUCAUGCCCCUUAUGUCUUGGGCUGCACGCAUGCUACAAUGGCUGGUACAAACGGCUGCAAUACCGCAAGGUGGAGCGAAUCCGAGAAAGCCAGUCUCAGUUCGGAUUGGGGUCUGCAACUCGACCCCAUGAAGUCGGAGUUGCUAGUAAUCGUAGAUCAGCAACGCUACGGCGAAUACGUUCCCGGGGCUUGUACACACCGCCCGUCACGUCACGAAAGUCGGUAACACCCGAAGCCGGUGGCCUAACCGUAAGGA
rnacentral:rRNA from 1 species